UACGGAGGGGGCUAGCGUUGUUCGGAAUUACUGGGCGUAAAGCGCGCGUAGGCGGACCUGCAAGUCGGGGGUGAAAUCCUGGAGCUCAACUCCAGAACUGCCUUCGAUACUGGAGAGCUUGAGUCCGGGAGAGGUGAGUGGAACUGCGAGUGUAGAGGUGAAAUUCGUAGAUAUUCGCAAGAACACCAGUGGCGAAGGCGGCUCACUGGCCCGGUACUGACGCUGAGGUGCGAAAGCGUGGGGAGCGAACAGG
rnacentral:rRNA from 1 species